rnacentral:misc_RNA from 1 species
AACAAACACUCCUUUUGAAUAAAACCAGAAGAAAAUUUACUUUUUUCAAUUCCUCCAAAUCCUGCACAGUCUCUUGAUUUUAUUCGAAAGGUGAGGUUUUAUUUUCUCAAGCACUUAGACCCUCUAAAAAGCAGAAUAUUUGGAAAAAAUUAAUAUAUUUUUAAUUUCUUGAGAAAUAAAAAGAAACAACUCUGCUGUUGAAUAAAAUUGUAUUUUGUGUUUUAAUUAAUAAAUUUUAUGUCAAAUAAUUUUGUUCACUUAUUGUUACAAUAAUCAAAAAAACUGUUACAAAGUGGUUGUAGUUGUUUUUUUUUAUAUUAUAUUAAACACAAAUAACAACAACAAUUAAAAAAGUAGUAAAUUCCAAACGAACAAGUGUCACACAAAAUAAAUGAAUAAAUAAAAUCGAAAUAAAAAAAAACACAAAUAACGGUGAAUGAAAUUUUUACGUUUUUAAAGCUGAAUGUAUUGAAAUGCGUGCCUGUGACAGAGUUUAGUUUGUUUUCGCUUCUUUUAAAAAAACGUGCGAAUUAAAUUCGAAAGAAAAAACUACUAAAAAUGUGCCAUUAUUAAUAAAAAGUUUUAAAGAAAUACUGAAUAAAAAGAAAUAAUAUUUAGACAGUAAACUAUCACCAGUUAUUUAAACAGUUGUGUAUAGACUUCUGUUCGAUUUGACUGUUGGCACAAAAUGACUAGUCAUUAUCGUUACAUGUGAGUCCCUUGCCUUAACGGUGACGUCACUUCCAACGUGUUUCGGUAACGUUCAAGUACAAUGUAAGGUCAUUUGAUCGGGUGGUGAAGUAUAAAUGCAACCUUGCAGUGUAUUCCUUACUUACGUCACCGCCACCUAUACGUCACUGUCAAAAUUGACAUCAUAUAUUAGUUAGUCUCCAAAGUAUAAUACUAACCAUUCACUUGGAUUUUCAUAACAAGAAGAAAGACAUAACACGGAAAAACAUAAAAAGGAACAAAAAAAAAAACUAAAUUUGUGGAAAUUUUUAUUAAAAUAAAAUAAUUUAUAUAAAGAAAAUAAAAAAAAGGCAAAUAUUAUUGACCAACCGUCACAAAGCCAAUUCUUUUAACAAAGCCUGUGGAGUUAAAAGAUUUGGGAGAAAUUAUUCAAAGAUACUCAUCUGUAGGAUACAAAACGUGUUGUUUGUUUACAUUCUGAUUUUUGGAACAAGGAUCAAUGAAAUGGAAACAUAUUAUAUCUUCCGAUGAAAACUAUCAAUGUCGAUCAUCAUUUAAACAUAAAUCAAAAUCAAUAUGUGAAUCUUUUGGUUGACAUUUCGUAGUAUGGAGACAAUAACAAAACUAAUAGUGUUGAGAACUUAAUUCCGAUGUACAAUAAUCAAUUGAAUAACUAUUGUUCUAAUUAUUCUAACUAAAAUUUAGAAAAAUGAAUAUAUUAUUCUAGAUUUUGCACUAUAAAAUUUAUAAUUGUUUUUCAAUUUUUAAAGAAAAUCAAAUAAAUUUAUUCAAUGUCAA